UAUCUCUGUAGAGUCUGCAUAUCAAUAAGCGGAGGAAAAGAAACUAACUAGGAUUCCCUCAGUAACGGCGAGUGAAGCGGGGAGAGCUCAAAUUUGAAAUCUUCAAGGUUCUACCUUGACGAAUUGUAGUUUAAAGAAGUGUUUUCUGUUGGAGUUUUGGCAAAAGUUCUUUGGAAUAGGACAUCAUAGAGGGUGAGAAUCCCGUAUUUGACCAUUAUUUCCAGCUUUGUGAUACACUUUCAAAGAGUCGGAUUGUUUGGGAAUGCAGUCCAAAAUGGGUGGUAAAUUUCAUCUAAAGCUAAAUAUUGGCGAGAGACCGAUAGCGAACAAGUACCGUGAGGGAAAGAUGAAAAGAACUUUGAAAAGAGAGUUAAACAGUACGUGAAAUUGUCAAAAGGGAAGCGUUUGACACCAGUGUUGUUUUCUCGAAAAUCAAUUAAAAAUGGCUUGAUUUUGUGUUGUAUUGACCUUAAAAGCUUUCUUCACUUUUUUCAUGUCUUUUUUAAUGCACUUUUCGUUUAACAAGUCAACAUCAAUUUCUUUUGUUGUAAAAGGGUCAUUGGAAGGUGGCUUUCUUUUCGGAGAAAGUGUUUAUAGCCUUUGGCCUCUGCAAUCGGAGAGAUUGAGGUCUGCAGCGUAGAUCCUUCGGGGUUAGAUACAUUUGUGCUAAGUUAUAGCCUUUCAUAGACAACUUGUUGACUAUGAUCAGUCAUGUAGCUUACUCGCUGAUGCUAUUUUACCUACGCUUAGGAUGUUGAAGAUGUAGCACAUCAU
rnacentral:rRNA from 1 species